AGCCGUAGGGAAACCGAGUCUGAAUAGGGCGAUUAGUUGCAUGUCGUAGACCCGAAACGGGAUGAGCUUACCAUGGGCAGGUUGAAGCGAGGGUAAAACCUCGUGGAGGACCGAACCCGUUAAGGUUGAAAACUUUUGGGAUGACCUGUGGUAAGGGGUGAAAGGCCAAUCAAAUUCCGUGAUAGCUGGUUCUCUCCGAAAUGCAUUUAGGUGCAGCGUCUAAUGAAUACCGUCGGGGGUAUAGCACUGAAUUGGCUAGGGGGCUUACCGGCUUACCAAACCAUAUCAAACUCAGAAUACCGACGAGUACUGUUAGGCAGUGAGACUGCGGAUGCUAAGGUCCGUAGUCGAAAGGGAAAGAGCCCAGACCAUCAGCUAAGGUCCCUAAAUCGUGUCUAAGUGGCGAAGGUUGUGGAACUACUUUGACAUCCAGGAGGUUGGCUUAGAAGCAGCCAUCCUUGAAAGAGUGCGUAAUAGCUCACUGGUCAAGUGAUUCCGCGCCGAUAAUGUAGCGGGGCUUAAGUUAUCCGCCGAAGCUGUGGCAACUUUUUUUGAGUUGGGUAGGGGAGCGUCGUGUUCGUGGUGAAGCAGCCUGGUGAUGGGUUGUGGAGUGGAUGCGAGUGAGAAUGCAGGCAUGAGUAGCGAAAGAUGAGUGAGAAACUCAUCCGCCGGAUGAUCAAGGGUUCCAGGGUCAAGUUAAUCUGCCCUGGGUUAGUCGGGGCCUAAGGCGAGGCCGACAGGCGUAGUCGAUGGACAACGGGUUGAUAUUCCCGUACCGGCGAAGAACCGCCCAAGUCAAUCCAGUAAUGCUAAGCACCUGAAUACCACGGGUUCUCCUUCGGGAGUCUCCGUGGGGCUAGCGUGCGACCCUAUGCUGGUGCGGCUAACGUAUUAACAGGUGUGACGCAGGAAGGUAGCCUCCGCGGGGCGAUGGUUGUCCCCGUCUAAGGAUGUAGGGCGAACGAUAGGCAAAUCCGUCGUUCACAUGCCUGAGAUCUGAUGGUGAGUCCGUAUGGACGAAGAGGGUGAUCCUAUGCUGCCGAGAAAAGCAUCGACGCGAGGUUGCAGCCGCCCGUACCCGAAACCGACUCAGGUGGUCAGGUAGAGAAUACCAAGGAGAUCGAGAGAAUCGUGGUUAAGGAACUCGGCAAAAUGCCCCCGUAACUU
rnacentral:rRNA from 1 species